rnacentral:rRNA from 1 species
GUAGGUGGCAAGCGUUGUCCGGAAUUAUUGGGCGUAAAGCGCGCGCAGGCGGUCCUUUAAGUCUGAUGUGAAAGCCCACGGCUCAACCGUGGAGGGUCAUUGGAAACUGGGGGACUUGAGUACAGAAGAGGAAAGCGGAAUUCCAAGUGUAGCGGUGAAAUGCGUAGAGAUUUGGAGGAACACCAGUGGCGAAGGCGGCUUUCUGGUCUGUAACUGACGCUGAGGCGCGAAAGCGUGGGGAGCAAACAGGGAUUAGAUACCCUGGUAGUCCACGCCGUAAACGAUGAGCGCUAAGUGUUAGGGGGUUUCCCGCCCCUUAGUGCUGCAGCUAACGCAUUAAGCACUCCGCCUGGGGAUACGGCCGCAAGGCUG